AACGAACGCUGGCGGCAGGCUUAACACAUGCAAGUCGAGCGCCCCGCAAGGGGAGCGGCAGACGGGUGAGUAACGCGUGGGAACGUACCCUUUGCUACGGAAUAGCUCCGGGAAACUGGAAUUAAUACCGUAUGUGCCCUACGGGGGAAAGAUUUAUCGGCAAAGGAUCGGCCCGCGUUGGAUUAGCUAGUUGGUGGGGUAAUGGCCUACCAAGGCGACGAUCCAUAGCUGGUCUGGGAGGAUGAUCAGCCACAUUGGGACUGAGACACGGCCCAAACUCCUACGGGAGGCAGCAGUGGGGAAUAUUGGACAAUGGGCGCAAGCUUGAUCCAGCCAUGCCGCGUGAGUGAUGAAGGCCUUAGGGUUGUAAAGCUCUUUCACCGGAGAAGAUAAUGACGGUAUCCGGAGAAGAAGCCCCGGCUAACUUCGUGCCAGCCGCCGCAGUAAGAC
rnacentral:rRNA from 1 species